CGCCCAUUUUUCUUUCUUUUCUUUCUUUUUCUCUUGAAAGGUUUUGGAUCUUCACCUCAUGCACAAGGCUUCCUCACACCCCAGGCUUUCUCUCCAAAAAAUUCUACGCACACCCCAUCCUUCUCCUCUUUUUAAAACAAUGUAGAACGUGUCUUAUCCGCAUGAGAGGAUAAAGAUAAGUGGUUGCACAUUUGAAUUCAAAUCAAAUUUGAAUUCAAAUACAAACUAACUCA
rnacentral:lncRNA from 1 species